AACCUUUACAAUGCACGAAAGUGUGAUAAGGGAAUCCCAAGUGCUUUGCUUUUAGUAAGGCUUUUGCCAAAUGUAAAAAGUUUGGCGAAUAAGUGGUGGGCAAGACUUGUGCCAGCCGCCGCGGUAACACCAGCGCCACAAGUGGCAACCAGUUUUAUUGGGCCUAAAGCGUCCGUAGCCGGUUCAGCAAAUUUUCUGUGAAAUCGUAAGGCUUAACUUAACGUCGUGCAGGAAAGACUACUGGACUAGGGACCGGGAGGCGUCAGAGGUAUUCCCAAGGGAGCGGUAAAAUGCUAUAAUCUUGGGAGGACCCCCUGUGGCGAAGGCGUCUGACGAGAACGGAUCCGACGGUGAGGGACGAAAGCCAGGGGAGCAAACCGG
rnacentral:rRNA from 1 species